CCGCGCGGGCGGCGAAGGAGCGCGGGUGUCUGGGCCGCGUGUAGGUGGCCGUCUGGGGCCGCGGGGGAGGUGAAGGAUCCGCCGCAUCUCGGGGUGCGGGCGCGGCUUGGACUGGUGUUCCUUCUUGCUCAGUGCUAGACUUGCUUGCCGGGGUCCCGGGUGCGGCCCUUGGCCAAGCUGUGCGCACCUGAGGCGCAGUGCGAGGGUCUCGAACCCGCUCCCUCGCGUCUGGGCCGCUGUUGCAGGCCUCGGGGACCGCCAUGUCCUCAAGGACUCAGAAUCGGUGGGACGGGUCCUCUGACUGGCGAGCUGCUCCUCUCUGUCCUCGCACCCCUCACCCGCCCUCUGCUCGGAAGAGAAAUAGUCUGAAUGAAGAGAACAACCAAGAAGUAUCAGUCCUCAGUCACCAGUUGAACACCUUCAAACAGGAAAAGAGAGGAAGAUCCAAAUGAUGCUCCUCAUUACUGCCCAACCUCUUGGAACCCUGAAGGAAAUGUAAUCUGCUUGGGCUAGAAAUUUCCUGGUUACAACCUCCAUAAAGAAACGUGUGGUUCGGCUGCUUUCCACAGGCUUGACGCCUCACCCAUGAGAGAAUCUGCAGAAAACACCAGCACUGGAAACACAGGACCAUUAUGAAGACUCGGUGCCUGAACAGCUCAUGAACACACCCCAGCACAAACUGUCAUUAUUAGGAGCGAUAAGUUGUCCCCUGGAACUUCAGGACCUCAUCCACACCUGUGGCUUCUGAUAACUUUGGUAAAUUGAACAAUCUGUGACCCAGUCAUAGCAGCCCUGCAGCUCAUGCCGAGGCCCAGGAACACAAAGCAAGCCUGAAGAAGACCAUUCUUUUCUCAGAAAAUUCUAAUCAGAGAAACAAACAGUCAUCCACAGGGACUAUUUAAAAAAAA